ensembl:lincRNA
AGGGAGAUUAUUCUGAGCUGUCAGGGUAGACUCCCAAACACAGUCACAUGUAUCCUUAUGAGCAGAAGGCCGAGGGAGGUUUGACAUACAGGAUGUGUGAAGGCAGGAUGCCUUCUGAUUUCUGUUUUGGAAUACACAUGUAAUGGCUGAUACUCCAGCAACCACCUUGGGACUAUAAAGAACAAUGCAGACUUCCAUUCUACCAUUCUUGAAUUGCUGAAUGAAUUCCAGCAGCCACUACCUCCAGAUAUCUCACUAUGAGAAGUUAUCAUCAUCUGUCAGAUCUGAAGUUAAACAACAAAAAACAUGUCAGCCCCCUCCAGAGCAAAAUUUAGCUACAGCAAGAGCAAUGGUAAAGCAGGAGGAAAAGACACCAUCAGAAUACUGUCAGGCACAAUGCAAAGGAUGGAGAUGGAGUUUGCUGCUUUGCCACUGCGUUCCCUUCUCCAUUCCAAAGCCAAGGUCCUUUAUCCAUCCGCAGCUUUUUAAUGAAGAACUUCCUUAAACUAAAGAGACAACGAAGACCCCUGAGAGACUUAAAAAUUCAAUGGAAAAAGUGAAAAAAACACUGAACACUUAACUUCUCUCCCAAAGGACCCAAGAGCCUGCCAAUUCCCCAGCAACACCAGAGCUAAGCAUUUUCCCAGAGUCGACCUUAAAUCCUUUUUUUGUUUUUCUCUUUUAAAGUGUGUUUACAAUUGACCAUUAUGGGAAAGAUGACGGAUGUAGCCUGGCCCCGUUUAAAAUAAUAAGACUAAUCGGGACACAGUUUCUUGCCCGCAGACUCUUCCUAAAAGCCUGUAGGCAGAACAAAGGGUUGGAGAGCCCAGAAUUUUCACUAGUUAAGUGCAAUCAGCCGGGGAUCUGCCCCUCUCCCCCACCCCCACUGAGCCACUGCUAGAACCUCCUUCGGACAGAGGAGUGCUGACUUCCAAAGCUGAAUACCUCCACCUUCAAGCAACCAGAAGAGUCCAUUUCUUGCUCCAGUCCUGUCAGCAGCGCUGAAGAAUGUGUAGAUCCCCUGGUCCAUAGGAACAAGACCAUUUUAGAUUCGGAGAAGGAAGACUAGAGGAAGCUAUUCCUUUCUGUACCCCCAGCCCCAAGUUCUAAAGGGGGCUGGCUGGUAGAAGAGGAGCCCUCUGUGCCCCCACCAUUUCUGAUACAUUCUGUCUCACAUUCGUUUUUAUCUUCCUGUGCCGAUGAGGUCGAUCUGACUGGGUUUUCUCUACAAAAAUUUAUUGCAUUUCUUUGAACUAAAUGCUACUGUGUAUACAUCACUCCUGGCAGGUAGUGGCUGAGGGCUCAGGCGAGGGGGUGGGCUUGUGAAGCAGCCUGGUGGAGCUGGGAUAAAACCUGAUGUGUAAUCUCAGGUUCCUACAUUACCUUGCAGCUGCUGUGGUUCCCACACGCUCUUUUUACCUACUCUGGAGCAAGAACCAUACAAUUUUGAUCCAGAUUCUCUCCUUGAGAGAGCAGUGCUUUAAGAUGGACAAGCAGUGUGCAGAUAGACAAGCCUAGUGCUGAUAAUUUCCUCUGUUCCCCAUAAGGACUCUGCCAAGGGAGAGUGUAGCUCAGUGGCAGAGCGCUUGCCUAGCAUGCAAUUGUGAGGCUCUGGGUUCCAUCCUGGGGUAUGUGUGUGUGGAGGGACAGACAUCAGAAGUAUGGUUCAUUUAGCUCUGUUUCUGCCUGACUUGGUUGCUCACCAAGGCCCCAGAGUCCAACCCCACCAGGACACGUCACUAUUGAGGACUCAGUCUCUUUGGCCAUUGUCAUCAUCCUUGGAGACAUGUUGCCAGUUCUAACUAAACUUUUCCCAGCCCUCAUCUGAGGUUGGCUGGCAGCUGAAUUCAGGAGAUAGGUGAAGUGGGUUGAUUUAGUCCUUGCUGUGGAAUUCUGAUUAGAUUGAGAAAGGAAAAUUCCCCUGACCUGGGAAGCAAUGGUCAGGCAGUGAAACUGACCUUCACAGCACUGACCAGAGAUAAACCUCUUGGCAUAAAACAGCUCCACACACACAAUUGAUCAGUGGGUCAGAAGCAGCCCACGAAGUAAGACAUACAUACACACACACACACACACACACACACACACACACACACACAAACUGAUAUAAGACUCAGGGGUGCGCAUUAAGACAUUAUAACUGACCAUCUGCAGCUGACACUGUGGAGCUGAUCAGAAUAAAACUGAAUGAGCCAGAGAGAAAUCCACCUGCCAGCUAAGCUAGCACACAGCUAACCACAGCAAGGGGCUGGAGCAGGGAGGCCCUGGAGGGCUGCAGGGUGGACAGAAGAGGAGACCCGGUCUCUGGGUGUUGAGGAUACCUGGCCUGAGCCUCUGCAGGGAGGGGAACUUGGCUGGGGAGGAGGGUGUCCAGUGCUUUUUGAUUUACAACCACCACGCCCCAAGCGAUCCCAUAAAUUUGGAAGCCGUUUUCACCAAAACCGUGAGUUACGAUUUUUCAAAUAAAUACAUUUCCCAAUCAGACAGGGUUCUGUUUAGGUUGAACGCUUCCCGGAGCAGACAUCUCUCUGUGCAGAAAAUACACAGAGGAGGGAGAGGAGCCUGGAUGAAGCUCAGACGACAUAAAAACUUGUGUAAACACGUUGUCAUUUACAGACUACGGAAGAGAAAGGGAAUGGGGGGAGGAAGGCAGAAAAAGAGGGGAAAAAAACAUACAUGUUU